CAGCAGGGACGGAAACAUCCUGCUGAAGAAACAAGUGCUGCUUACUGUCAGAGAGUGUCGGGUGGAGGUGGAGGUGGGGGCGGAGUCUGUCCAGCUGCCCUUCAAAACCACAGCUCAGCUGCCUGAAGACACUCAGGUGGAGUGGUGGCACCGUCCUGAGAAGCCUGACAAACAGGAGCGGGAUUACAGAGACCGAGUGAAGAUGAAGGACGAGCGUGUGAAAAGCGGACGGUUCAGCCUGACCCUUGAACGCCCCACAGAGAGAGACAGUGGCAGAUACAGCUGUGUGGCCUGGAGCCAGGGAAACAUCAUCGGAUGGAGAGUCGUGCUGCUCACAGUUACAGGGAGAGAUCAGCACAUCAGGAACAGAAGCAGCUCCAUUGAUCCGACUCCUCUGAUGGCUGAAGUUUGAUCUGUGUUCCUUUGUUAUUGAUCAGUGAUGUCAGAGUGGAGUCAGUGUGAUGCUAUCAGUUAUACUGGAAACACUUUGCUUCAGUUUCUCCUACUGAUCAGUUUCUGUCUUGACUCUGUUUAAAGCUUUGUGAGUGUCGGUGGGCAGUGAGCAUGAGUGGGAGCCGUGGACGCUGCUGCAGGAAGGCUGCAUGUCAUUUAUUUGUAUGAGUUUAAUCCAUUAAAGUUAAUAAAGAGCUACUCGGAUGUUG